rnacentral:lncRNA from 1 species
GAAGAAACAACAACAACAACUAUUAUAAUUGUUAUUAUUAUUAUGAUGGAAAGUGUCGCAGACUAAGGCGACACUUGCUUACUGGCCAUGCUUCAUGAACCCUGCCAAGAAUUCCUGCAGUUCCCAGCAAUGCUGAUUUUUUGUAGCUGUUCUACCUUUACAUUUGUACCAAUCCUUUUCGGCCAUGUUGGUAGUUGAGUGCUGAUCCUUCCAACUGCACCAAUUACUAUUGACAUCACGUCUACUCACUUCAUUGAUGCCUCCUCCAAAAUGGUGUAGGCAUUGUGCAGAUGUGGUGUGCCGUGCUUAACCAAAUCCACUACAAGGCUUUGAUCGCUCCGGUGUUAUAUUUGAAGACACUUGCGCAAGGCGCAACACAAUGGGACCGAACGGAACACUACGUGGUUGAGAUGCAAAG